rnacentral:rRNA from 1 species
CCAAUAGCGUAUAUUUAAGUUGUUGCAGUUACAAAGCUCGUAGUUGAAUUUCAGGCCUGGCUGGACGGUCCGCCCUUCGGGUGAGUACUGUCUGUGGUCGGGUCCUACCUUCUGGCGAAGCGUCAUGGCCUUAACCGGCCGUGGCGGGGAACCAGGACUUUUACUGUGAAAAAAUUAGAGUGUUCAAAGCAGGCAAUCGCUUGGAUACAUUAGCAUGGAAUAAUGGAAUAGGACAAUGGUUCUAUUUGUUGGGUUCUAGGACCGUUGUAAUGAUUAAUAGGGAUAGUUGGGGGCAUUAGUAUUCAAUUGUCAGAGGUGAAAUUCUUGGAUUUAUUGAAGACUAACUACUGCGAAAGCAUUUGCCAAGGAUGUUUUCAUUAAUCAAGAACGAAAGUUAGGGGAUCGAAGACGAUCAGAUACCGUCGUAGUCUUAACCAUAAACUAUGCCGACUAGGGAUCGGAUGAUGUUAAUUUUUUAAUGACUCAUUCGGCGCCUUACGGGAAACCAAAGUGUUUGGNUUC